rnacentral:rRNA from 1 species
AUUGAACGCUGGCGGCGUGCCUAACACAUGCAAGUCGAGCGGUAACAGGUGUAGCAAUACAUGCUGACGAGCGGCGGACGGGUGAGUAACGCUUGGGAAUCUGCCUAUUAGUGGGGGACAACCCGGGGAAACUCGGGCUAAUACCGCAUACGCACUACGGUGGAAAGCCCGGGGACCGCAAGGCCUGGCGCUAACAGAUGAGCCCAAGUCGGAUUAGCUAGUUGGUAGGUAACGGCCACCAAGGCGACGAUCCGUAACUGGUCUGAGAGGACGACCAGUCACACCGGAACUGAGACACGGUCCGGACUCCUACGGGAGGCAGCAGUGGGGAAUAUUGGACAAAUGGCGAAAGCCUGAUCCAGCGA